GGUAAAAAAAAAAAAAAAAAAAAAAGAAUGUAUCUGGGGUACUGAGUGGAAUUUCUCCAUAGUACUAAGUUUUAUAACUGUACUUAUACUUGAGAUAUUUCAUUUUUAUUUUAAGUGUGUGUGUGUGUGUGUGUGUGUGUGUGUGUGUGUGUGUGUGUGUGUGUGCAGUGCCUGCAGAAGCCAGAAGAGGGCAUCAGAUCCCAUGGACCUGGCCUUACCAGCAGAUGUAAGCCCCUUGUUUUGGGUGCUGGGAACUGAAGACCGAUCCUCUGUGAGAGCAGCAUAAGCUCUUGGCUGCGGAACAGGCUCUUCAAUCCCAAUCAUGGUACCA
rnacentral:scRNA from 14 species